UAAAUUCAUUUAUCAUGAAUAAAAUCAUUUACCCAUACUUAUUGUAGCGGGAUUUCCAAAACUAACCUAUAAAGUCAAUGACAUAAACAAUAUUAAAAUCUUAUAUUUAAUCAGGCAGAAUAACGACUUUCUCUUUUAUCAGCCUACUGGUAUCCAUGGAGGUCCAUAAAGAUGUCCCCACUACGCGUGAACCUUUAUUCAACAUUUU
rnacentral:lncRNA from 1 species